rnacentral:misc_RNA from 1 species
UUUCCGUAGGUGAACCUGCGGAAGGAUCAUUAACACGUAUCCAAACGUACAAACCACAAUAUACGAACAACAACCCGCGCCCUGACAGUGUUCGAACCGUUAAGGUUCAGCAGCCCCCAGUUGGGAACGGCUCUGUGGCUGGAGCUUUCUGCUACAUUUCACGAUGGCAGCAGAAGCCGCACUGUACGGCGCCAUUUUUUCCCACAUCAACCCUUUUCUGGUUUGACGGAAACAAAACUUCGCUCCGACAGGAGUGAUUUUAAAGAUAUUGAACGCUGAACAACUUUUAGCAACGGAUAUCUUGGUUCUC